UUCAGCACUCAGGAUUGCUAAUGAAAGCAGUGAUGCUGAAUUUGGUAUAAAAUGCCUGAAUGCCAUCUAACUUCUACUUCAGAAAAAUAUGAGGAUUGAAACAAGCUCACAGAUCCUACCUGUACAGUGCCCAUAUAAAACAAAAAGGAGGCUCAAAAGAUGACAGUGGAAGACUGGAGGAGAACGAGUGAUAAAAAAGACGUGAAUUGCAGCACCUGCUUGCUGAGUGUGCCAUCUGUGUUGGUACUGGCCAGGUAUUCUCGUCUCUCUGCUGAGAUAUCCCCACCUGUGACAGUGUCAGAAGCAGCUCCUGACUGUGCCUGGCUGUGUGUGUGAAGAGGAAGACAUGUCUCCAUGCCUUCCACUUUCAUGCUGUCAUUACCCUGAGGUGAAAACCAUUGCUCCAUGUCCAAUCUGACGUGAUUCCCUUAUCAUCAUAGACUGUGUUAACUAGACUUGUAAAGCCCACACAAUUUAUCUUGCAUCACAUGUGCAAGCCUGCUCUCAUAAACUGGGACUCAUGCUGCACACUCCUGAUCUUAACUUUUUAUCACAGAUUUUCUACACACAGGAGAUUCCAUCUCCAGUCAGUUGUACAGUUUUCCCCUCUAGCACAAGUAUAUGCAAGCUACAGAGCUGGUAUCCACAGGAUUGCUUACCACUCCAAAGUGAGGAGCUGAGGAGGGGAGGUGAAUAAAUACAUUGCCCUAUGAACUUGUGCUUAAAGCUCUGAGUUUUCCUUCCUUUCCCCUUUUACUUUUCGCACCAAUCUUUGGAGUACGUGCAUUGACCUGCAAAGUGCAUGAAAAACAAUCCUGUAACCCAAUUCUCACCAUAAUGUAAGUCCCAGAAUGAUUCUUUUGUCCUCUUCAUUGGCUGCGGACUAAGCAAUACUGAAGCACUAGUGAGAUUAAGUAUUUUUCCUCUUCUCACACAAAGAAAACCAUGUUUGCAUUAAAUUUAGGAUUAAUCUACUUCUACUGUGAUUUACUCACCUUAUAAAUGAACUUUUUCUCUACACCCAGUACUCCCAUUUUUCUUUCUCUUUUGUUAAGAUCAUGUCUCUGAUAUGCAAGUCCAUUCCUGUGAAAUACUUACCAACACUUUUACUCAGCUUAUUAAGCCUUCCUGCAAAAUGCUUGUAACAAUGUUCUUUUCAUUGCCUUUACUAUGAGCUUUUUGCUGCACCUUUAUCUCAUAUCCUAUGUACUUUACUAAUGAUCAAGGGAAAGCAGAUGCCCCCUAGUUUAUACUCACAUUAUCCUGUGACAGUGGCAUUGUGUGAACUGGAAUUGGCUGCCAAAGGAUUCUGGGGUUCCAAAUCUGGUCCUGUGUUGGUGGGUAC